UAUACACCAUAAGUUACAGGUUUUUCCGAAAGGAAAAUUAAAAAGGAACCGUGUGUAAAUCACGGGCAGACGUGCUACCGUAAGUUUCGUACCACACGAUGCAACAAUUUAUAUCCACUGAUAAAAUUUUAUUGGGAAGGAUGUUGCACCGGAAACAAGCCGGGAUACUUGCCUUUAAUUUUGGUCGGAG
rnacentral:ncRNA from 2 species